rnacentral:rRNA from 1 species
CCUACGGGAGGCAGCAGUGAGGAAUAUUGGUCAAUGGACGAGAGUCUGAACCAGCCAAGCAGCGUGAAGGAUGACUGCUCUAUGGGUUGUAAACUUCUUUUAUAUGGGAAUAAAAUGUUCUACGAGUGGGAUUUUGUAUGUAUCAUAUGAAUAAGGAUCGGCUAACUCCGUGCCAGCAGCCGCGGUAAUACGGAGGAUCCGAGCGUUAUCCGGAUUUAUUGGGUUUAAAGGGUGCGUAGGUGGAUUGUUAAGUCAGUUGUGAAAGUUUGCGGCUCAACCGUAAAAUUGCAGUUGAAACUGGCAGUCUUGAGUACAGUAGAGGUAGGCGGAAUUCGUGGUGUAGCGGUGAAAUGCUUAGAUAUCACGAAGAACUCCGAUUGCGAAGGCAGCUCACUGGGCUGCAACUGACGCUGAGGCUCGAAAGUGUGGGUAGCAAACAGGAUUAGAUACCCGUGUAGUC